rnacentral:rRNA from 1 species
UGGGGAAUAUUGGACAAUGGGCGAAAGCCUGAUCCAGCCAUGCCGCGUGUGUGAAGAAGGUCUUCGGAUUGUAAAGCACUUUAAGUUGGGAGGAAGGGUUGUAGAUUAAUACUCUGCAAUUUUGACGUUACCGACAGAAUAAGCACCGGCUAACUCUGUGCCAGCAGCCGCGGUAAUACAGAGGGUGCAAGCGUUAAUCGGAAUUACUGGGCGUAAAGCGCGCGUAGGUGGUGUGUUAAGUUGGAUGUGAAAGCCCCGGGCUCAACCUGGGAACUGCAUCCAAAACUGGCAAGCUAGAGUACGGUAGAGGGUGGUGGAAUUUCCUGUGUAGCGGUGAAAUGCGUAGAUAUAGGAAGGAACACCAGUGGCGAAGGCGACCACCUGGACUGAUACUGACACUGAGGUGCGAAAGCGUGGGGAGCAAACA